GGGUCAAAGUUUACUCAAUGAUGAGUCCGUGGCGAACCGUUCGUGGCGAACUGUUCGCGAACCGUUUGGCAAACCGUUCGGGACAUCACUAACCCUGACAAAUGGCUACCACAUGCAAGGAAGGCAGGAGGUGCACAAAUGACCCACUCCCAACGUGGGGAGGUAGUGACGACAAAUAACAAUACAGGACUCUUUAGAGGCCCUGUAAUUGCAAUGAGUCCACUUGAAAUCCUUUAACUCUGAUCAAUUGGAGGGCAAGUCUGGUGCAGAGCGACUGACCCGUGUGUGCUGCAGCUGAAACUCCACU